GUCUCCUCUCUGACCAUCUGGAGGGCCACCCAUUCCUGAGGAACUGUUCCCCGAACAAGCAAGUAUGCAAGGGCAGAGGAUGAAUCAGACCCAGCAGGUCCCACUGAGGGCCCCCGUUGAAGAUCAGAGGGGUCUGGCAGGGCCUGUGGGACAUCCCGCCAUGCCUCGCUUCCUCCCCACACUGCUGCAGACAGGCUCUGCCCAGGACCUUUGUGAUGGGCAGGUCAACCUGACCAGAGGUGUGGAAACUUCUGGAUGCCUGCUCUUGUGAGUUCACCUCUAUGUCUACUCUACUGAGGCCUCUCCAUACAGGUAGAGUGACUUGUGGGAGGCCUGUUACAUCCUCAGGCCACACCUGGUAAGGGAAGCGCAGGUGGGUCCCACCUGCCCUGGUGCCCCCCUCAGGAUACCUGGGGGUAUAUACUUUUUCUCAUGCCACCCCCAGGCUCUGCCCAGAUGGGGCUGACGACUGGUUUUUGGGCUGGCAUCCGUGUUUCCGGGCGCUGCUUGCCCGUUCUCUCCCACCUGCCGGUUGAACCUUAAUCUCCUUUUGGUUGCGUACAUCAUUGGGUGAGUCUCUGCCUCCAUGCAUUUUUCUGGAACAAGGGUCCCUACCUUCUUGCAGACAUUGAAGAGAGCCUGUGACCUCCCAGAGGCGCUAAGCACCCUUCCAGCUCUGACAUCGUAUAGUUGGCUCUAAUAGGUCUCAGUUUCCUGCCUUCCUGGGAAGUGGGGAAAGGCUGAGAGGCCCCGUGCUGGGGGUGAAGCUAAUUCAUUAGUUACGCCUCAACAAGGACCGGGUGCCUGCAGUGCCAGCGUGAUUCAUCAUGAUGAUUGCCCCACUGCCAGCCUGCGUGGGCCUGGAACGCCAGCACAUUUUACCUUUACCCACUGAGAAGGGCCUGGUGGGAGGUGAAGGUACAGGAUCUGCCGAGAGCAAGAAAAAGACUCUGAGAAAGAAGAGGGCUGGUCCUCCAUGCUCUCGGCCCCAGGAAGCUCUGCCAGGCUGGUGCCGGGGUGGAGAGGCUCAUGUGGGCUCAUGUGGUGCUGCCUGUGCUGAUGGAGCCCAAGAG
rnacentral:lncRNA from 1 species